GACGAACGCUGGCGGUGUGCUUAACACAUGCAAGUCGAACGGAAAGGCCCUGCUUUUGUGGGGUGCUCGAGUGGCGAAUGGGUGAGUAACACGUGAGUAACCUGCCCUUGACUUUGGGAUAACUUCAGGAAACUGGGGCUACUACCGGAUAGGAGCUCCUGCCGCAUGGUGGGGGUUGGAAAGUUUCGGCGGUUGGGGAUGGACUCGCGGCUUAUCAGCUUGUUGGUGGGGUAGUGGCUUACCAAGGCUUUGACGGGUAGCCGGCCUGAGAGGGUGACCGGCCACAUUGGGACUGAGAUACGGCCCAGACUCCUACGGGAGGCAGCAGUGGGGAAUAUUGCACAAUGGGCGGAAGCCUGAUGCAGCAACGCCGCGUGCGGGAUGACGGCCUUCGGGUUGUAAACCGCUUUCGCCUAUGACGAAGCGUGAGUGACGGUAAUGGGUAAAGAAGCACCGGCUAACUACGUG
rnacentral:rRNA from 1 species